UGGGAGGAGACUAACAGGAUUCCCCUAGUAACGGCGAGUGAAGCGGGAAAAGCUCAAAUUUAAAAUCUGGCGGUCUACGGCCGUCCGAGUUGUAGUCUAGAGAGGUGUCUUCCGUGUCGGACCAUGCACAAGUCCCUUGGAACAGGGCGUCAUAGAGGGUGAGAAUCCCGUCCGUGGCAUGGACUCCCGAUGCUCUGUGAUACACCUUCGAAGAGUCGAGUUGUUUGGGAAUGCAGCUCAAAAUGGGUGGUAAAUUCCAUCUAAAGCUAAAUACAGGCGAGAGACCGAUAGCGAACAAGUACCGUGAGGGAAAGAUGAAAAGCACUUUGGAAAGAGAGUUAAACAGUACGUGAAAUUGUUGAAAGGGAAACGCUUGGAGUCAGUCGCGUUUGCUGGGACUCAGCCUUGCUUUUGCUUGGUGCACUUCCUGGUACACGGGCCAGCAUCAAUUUCGGCCGCCAGAAAAAGGCUUGGGGAAGGUGGCACCUCCGGGUGUGUUAUAGCCCCUCGUUGUAUAUGGUGGCUGGGAUUGAGGACCGCAGCACGCCUUUGGUCGGGGUUCGCCCACGCCACGUGCUUAGGAUGCUGGCGUAAUGGCUUUAAACGACCCGUCUUGAAACACGGACCAAGGAGUCUAACAUGCCCGCGAGUGUUUGGGUGUAAAACCCAGGCGCGUAAUGAAAGUGAAAGGUUGGGACUCUUCGCUGAGGCACCGACGCCCGAUCCUGAAGUUCUCGGACGGAUUUGAGGUAGAGCGUGUAUGUUGGGACCCGAAAGAUGGUGAACUAUGCCUGAAUAGGGCGAAGCCAGAGGAAACUCUGGUGGAGGCUCGUAGCGAUUCUGACGUGCAAAUCGAUCGUCAAAUUUGGGUAUAGGGGCGAAAGACUAAUCGAACCAUCUAGUAGCUGGGU
rnacentral:rRNA from 1 species